rnacentral:rRNA from 1 species
UCGGGAAUUUUGGGCAAUGGGCGAAAGCCUGGCCCAGCAACGCCGCGUGAAGGAUGAAGUAUUUCGGUAUGUAAACUUCGUAAGAAUAGGAAGAAUAAAUGACGGUACUAUUUGUAAGGUCCGGCUAACUACGUGCCAGCAGCCGCGGUAAUACGUAGGGACCAAGCGUUGUUCGGAUUUACUGGGCGUAAAGGGCGCGUAGGCGGCGUGGUAAGUCAUCUGUGAAAUCUCCGAGCUUAACUCGGAACGGUCAGAUGAUACUGCUGUGCUAGAGUACAGAAAGGGCAAUCGGAAUUCUUGGUGUAGCGGUGAAAUGCGUAGAUAUCAAGAGGAACACCUGAGGCGAAGGCGGGUUGCUAGGCUGAUACUGACGCUGAGGCGCGAAAGCUAGGGUAGCAAACGGGAUUAGAUACCCCCGUAGUCCCUGAGCGGGCUGGCAAGGCGCAU